rnacentral:rRNA from 1 species
CACGUAGGGACCGAGCGUUGUCCGGAUUUAUUGGGCGUAAAGAGCUCGUAGGCGGCUCGUCGCGUCGACCGUGAAAACCCGCGGCUUAACUGCGGGCUUGCGGUUGAUACGGGCGGGCUAGAGUUCGGUAGGGGAGACUGGAAUUCCUGGUGUAGCGGUGAAAUGCGCAGAUAUCAGGAGGAACACCGGUGGCGAAGGCGGGUCUCUGGGCCGAUACUGACGCUGAGGAGCGAAAGCGUGGGGAGCGAACAGG